AUCUAGCUGACGAGUCCCAAAUAGGAUGAAACGCGUGUCCUGGAU
rnacentral:hammerhead_ribozyme from 1 species